rnacentral:rRNA from 1 species
GUCCCCGCACAAGCAGCGGAGCGUGUGGUUUAAUUCGAGGUUACGCGAAGAACCUUACCAGGGUUUGACAUGCUAGUGGUAGUGAAGCGAAAGCGGAACGACCCUUCGGGGAGCUAGCACAGGUGCUGCAUGGCUGUCGUCAGCUCGUGUCGUGAGAUGUCAGGUUAAGUCCUGUAACGAGCGCAACCCUCGUCGUUAGUUAUAAGUGUCUAACGAGACUGCCCGUGAUAAGCGGGAGGAAGGUGAGGAUGAUGUCAAGUCAGCAUGGCCUUUAUAUCCUGGGCUACACACACGCUACAAUGGCCAGUACAAUGGGUUGCCAAGUCGCGAGACGGAGCCAAUCCCUCAAAGCUGGUCUCAGUUCGGAUUGCAGGCUGCAACUCGCCUGCAUGAAGUCGGAGUUGCUAGUAACCGCGCGUCAGCACAGUGCGGUGAAUACGUUCCCGGGGAUU